CUUUUUUAACUGGGUGAGGUUGCCUCUUGGGACCCCCAGUUGAUAGAUGAGAAGCACCUGACUUUGAAAAGGAACCGAACUCAAGCAGGCUGCAUCCUAAGCCCGUCUCAAGCAGACUGCAGAAGCCUUUUCCCCUUAACCUUAAAAUAGACUCCACAUCCCUCCCUCUCCGACUGUAAACCCUUUCCACAUUAUCUAACUGUGUGCUUACUUAGAAGUUACAGGGGUUAACCUUGAGACAGAUCAAACCUGGAGACCCAGCUGCAAAAUUUCAAAUAUCACCUUAAAGCCGUUCGUCCACAACCUGGUCAUUGUUGUGGUUAUGCCAGUCCACGCUCCAGGAGGACUGUGACCCGAGAUAGCCACUGAAAAAAGAGACACAGAUGUCACACCCCCAUCACUCGCUUACCAUUACAAUGUGAAAUGCCUCCCAUAUCAAGCUUUCCUUCUUAAACCCCUGCCCUCAGCCAACCUUCAAAGCAGUUUCUCUAGGUGUAAACCUGGCCACUUCCCCCUGUGGCUAUGGAAAUAAAGUGGCUUUCCAUUCACUGCACUUGCUGAGUUUGCACACGGUAAGCAGCCCAGCCUGCACUGGGUCACAACUUCUCAAUUGCCUCCUUCUGCGAGAGAGAGUGAGGUGCUCGGCCUCCACAAAAGGCCUCAGAGUAAACAGCAUCAAAUCUCCCCCUUGGGCAGCCUUCCCCUAUUCUCAACCUCUUCAGCACCCUGCCUGCACGGAUCACAAUGGUUCUCACUACAGAUGGAGCAUCCCACUCACUGAGGAAGUACCUGCUCAGGAGGGUGUGAUGACUGGGGACAUGAAACCGGAAGCCAAGGAACACCCACCACACCCCUCCCCAUGCUCCGUGCAGGAUGUCCUGUGUUCACGCCAGGGCAGGCACAAGGAAAGUCAGCACGGCCCCAUGUUCCCAGCAGCUCAGUCUCACCUGUGAGUGGCAGGAGUGCGAGGUGUGAGUUGGAUGAGGGCUUUGGACCCCAGCGCUAAGGUGGGCUACGUGGAGCUCCCAGGAUGCUGGGGUCACAGGCCCCAGUGAGCCUGCUGAAAUUGUAGCAGAGACUGUAAUAUUUUAUCUAGACUACAAGACAUAAAUUUGCUGUGUGUUCUUGCACUACCAACUUUAAUAAUAAUGUCUUUGCAUGCCAUCUAUUCUCUCAUGGGCAAUAACACAGAUACAAACGGUCCUGAGUGCUCAGCGCUGCUGGGUUUUGGGGUCUGCUUUAGGGGAAACAUUUCCAAAACCUGCCAUCCGGUGCGUUUGCUCUUCUGAAAAACGUCCCCAGAACCAGCGGCCGCCUGGCCUCUGGGGCGCCCCGCAGGUCGUGUGAAUACACAUGUGGAGUGACUGAAACGGAUGCUUAUGGCUACUUUCCCACCCUGGAGGAGACUCUGCCAUCUGGGUUUGGGCUAAAGUCGAGGUAGUGUGUGAAUCUGAUUUCCCCCUUUAUGUAAUGAGCUGUUUUCCUGAUCUGUGGACCUGUUAUGUCAUGGCUUUGAUGAACAAGAAUAAAAAAGGUAAGUGAGAAAACAAACAAAAUGAAUAUAUCUGUAGGAAUUCAGUGCUCUCGAAGAACUGCAACUCACUGCCUUCUCAAAUCUCAGAUACCACUAUUUAAAGAAGAUAGGAUGUGGUUAAAAAUAAGUAACGCAACGAUUUCUGAGUGUCCAUAUUGGGUAACUGUUGACUAUAAGCCUCAGGUAUUGCUUCUUUUGUGUGUGUCUCCAUUGUUGUGUUUAACCCAACUGACCAAUUUAGAAAAUGUAAUAUUCUUUUGAUAUUCCAAAAAUUUUUGAAAA
ensembl:lncRNA novel transcript